GACGAACGCUGGCGGCGUGCUUAACACAUGCAAGUCGAACGGAAAGGCCCUGCUUUUGUGGGGUGCUCGAGUGGCGAACGGGUGAGUAACACGUGAGUAACCUGCCCUUGACUUUGUGAUAACUUCAGGAAACUGGGGCUAAUACCGGAUAGGAGCUCCUGCUGCAUGGUGGGGGUUGGAAAGUUUCGGCGGUUGGGGAUGGACUCGCGGCUUAUCAGCUUGUUGGUGGGGUAGUGGCUUACCAAGGCUUUGACGGGUAGCCGGCCUGAGAGGGUGACCGGCCACAUUGGGACUGAGAUACGGCGCAGACUCCUACGGGAGGCAGCAGUGGGGAAUAUUGCACAAUGGGCGGAAGCCUGAUGCAGCAACGCCGCGUGCGGGAUGACGGCCUUCGGGUUGUAAACCGCUUUCGCCUGUGCCGAAGCGUGAGUGACGGUAAUGGGUAAAGAAGCACCGGCUAACUACGUG
rnacentral:rRNA from 1 species